AUACGUAGGGGGCGAGCGUUAUCCGGAAUUAUUGGGCGUAAAGAGUACGUAGGCGGUUCUGUAAGCGUGAGGUGAAAGCCCGGGGCUUAACUCCGGUAAGCCUUUCGAACUGCAGGACUUGAGUGCUGGAGGGGAAAGUGGAAUUCCUAGUGUAGCGGUGAAAUGCGUAGAUAUUAGGAGGAACACCAGUGGCGAAGGCGACUUUCUGGACAGUAACUGACGCUGAGGUACGAAAGCGUGGGGAGCAAACAGGAUUAGAUACCCUGGUAGUCCACGCUGUAAACGAUGAGCACUAGGUGUCGGGCUAGCAAUAGUUCGGUGCCGCAGUUAACGCAAUAAGUGCUCCGCCUGGGGAGUACGCACGCAAGUGUGAAACUCAAAUGAAUUGACGGGG
rnacentral:rRNA from 1 species